CCAGUCGGCUGGAUGGCCGCCGCGCAAGCGGAGGAAAGUCCGGGCUCCACGGAGACACGGUGCCGGAUAACGUCCGGCGGGGGCGACCCCAGGGAAAGCGCCACAGAAAACAGACCGCCGGACGGGUAACCGAAAGGCAAGGGUGAAAAGGUGCGGUAAGAGCGCACCGCGCGCCUGGUAACAGGCUCGGCAUGGCAAGCCCCACCGGGAGCAAGACCGAAUAGGGGCGCGCGCGGCUCGCCGCAAGGCAAGCCGCAGGUCCGUCUUCGGAUCGCCGCCCGGGUUGGUUGCUCGAGGCCGCCGGCAACAGCGGCCCCAGAGGAAUGGCCAUCACGCAUGCGGGAUCCCCGCAUGCCAUACCAAACCCGGCUUAUAGGCCGGCUGGCACC
rnacentral:RNase_P_RNA from 1 species